UACGUAGGGUGCGAGCGUUAAUCGGAAUUACUGGGCGUAAAGCGUGCGCAGGCGGUUUUGUAAGCCAGAUGUGAAAGCCCCGGGCUCAACCUGGGAAUGGCAUUUGGGACUGCAAGGCUUGAGUGCGGCAGAGGAGACUGGAAUUCCUGGUGUAGCAGUGAAAUGCGUAGAGAUCGGGAGGAACAUCAGUUGCGAAGGCGGCUCUCUGGACCAGCACUGACACUGAGGCACGAAAGCGUGGGGAGCAAACAGG
rnacentral:rRNA from 1 species